rfam:Camelus ferus unplaced genomic scaffold scaffold880, whole genome shotgun sequence.
GCAGGUAGAGCUCAGGGGUAGAGCACGUGCUUAGCAUGCACGAGGUCCUGGGUUCCAUCCCUGGUACCUCCA